GAACUUUCUAGAUCACAGGUAAACCGACGCUGACAUCGAGCAUGGUAGCGCACAGAAAUCUUUCAGGAUAUCACUUCAUUUCAUGCUUACUGCCUUUCAGGUUGACCCAAGAGUUAUCUACAUCUUUGGGUACAAAUAAGGAAACUCGGAGCCAAGCAGCUACCUAACUGGCCGUUGGUCACGUGACGGAACAGCGGCGUUAGAAUUUAGACCAGGCACUGCUCAGGGCACACCCAUCUGAAGCCGUGUUGCUCUCCUCCUGCCUGCCUGAUUCUGCACACAGGCUCUAGGCCAUCAGACUCUAAGUUUUACUGAUGACGAGAAAAGCAAUAUGACAGGGCUGCAUUAGCUAAAUGGAACCGUCCUCCCCUCCUUCCCUCCCAUCUCCCCUUCUGCUGCUGCCCAAGAAUCAGACAUAGCCGGAUUGGACUGGAUUAGAAGCACAGACUAUGGUCUUCUCAUCAACCCAAACUAGCUCAAUUGUGAAUCAGCUCGAUUGUGAAUCAGCCGCCUCUGUUAAGGACAACGGGCUCACUGGUCACGUCCAGAACAUCACUGUCUUUGUAGUGGCCAUUUAAUAGAUUAAAACAUUGUUUUAAUUAGUCUCUAUCAAUGACAUUAGAAGUUUACAAAAUAAGGCAAACAAUAAAAAUACCUCUCCUUGUUCCUUGGGAAUGAAAUUGCUUCUAUCCUUCUACAGAUAAGAGAAUCAUUGCAGGAAGGCAAUCUCCCAUCUCCACAAACAAUCUUUAGAGCGGUAUUUAAAUCAAAUUGCCUGGAAAUAAUCAUAUUUGAAGGAAGUAGAGAAAACUUCUUGAGGUAAGUCAUCUCGGGGGCUAUGUCUGCGACAUACAGCCAUGGAUUUUUGUGUCUUAGAGUCUUCCUUGGCUUUAAUUUGCUAUUUUUUAAAAAAGCAAAGUAACUAAUACAAAAAUGGCUCAGUUUUUUUUUUUUAUAAUGACAUUCCUAUGAGACAUUGAAAGAAUUGUAGAUUAAUGUUGCCAUCCACUCUCAACAGCUCUGAGGAACAUUUUUAUUGGACAAUAAAGCUUUCUUCCUUGUGUUCUAUAUGAUUCCUUUUUUUCCCUGUCAGAAGAUACUACUGUUUGUAUAAAAAGGAGAAAUACAAAUGCUUAUUAUCCAGCAAAGCAAUUCUAGUAAAUUAAAUUCGUUCAAUUCACAUAAGGCACAGAGGACCAAACACUUCGGGGAGUGGGAAGUUAAUAUUCAAACACAAUGCAUUUGAGACCUUUUGCAUACUGCUCAGGUCUAUCUUUGGCAAAAGAUGGCAGUCUUCCAGCCUGCAGAUUCUCUCCCAGUGUGUGGAAUCUGAUUGCCACAUCACCAGCUGUCGUUGGAAGUGGUUCUAAAAUUCACAUAGACCGUCUUGUAGCUUUUCUCCUAUAGUCUGAGCUGACAGUCCCCGCUUCUAAUCUGAAGCAGACCAGAUAUUGCUAACAAGACUAGUCUUCAGUAACACAAAAACUCCUCUACAAAAAAUCCAGGCAUGUUCGACUCCUGUAAGUGCAGAAAGAGGAGGUGGGCGCAGGUUGUACCUAGGAUGCUCGUGCUGAUGGGUUAGCUGGCAGAACCAUUCCAUCGCCAACUCAGGAGCUGAAUAUACAGAGUCCUAAUUUGUUAGGUGCUUAAAAAUUGGCUCUGACUAAACACAGGAAGUUGGUGAGAUGAAUCCUUAAGAUCCAUUCCAGUUCCAAGUGAAUAUGUACCACACUCAUCGUUGGCCGGAACUCUGCAUCUAAUCCAGCACUGGCUGGUAUCCAACCUUGUUCAUUUAAUAGUCAACAUUUGUCAAGGGCUCCCCAUGUACCGAGCCCUGUGUUAGGCAUGUGUUAGGGGACAGAUACAAAGAAGCCUUCUGCCUUUGAGGAAUGUGGAGAAGUAAUAGAUUCAAAGGGAGAAGUCUGAAGGCAGGCACAACGGACUCUGUGUCUCUGUGUGUGGGUCUCACUGCUGAAGGCAGUGGCAGGCUGGCUGCUCUGAUGAAUGCAGAUGGUUUGUGUGUAAACUCAAUUGUGCGCUAACAUUUUCUGAAAGGUACCCACUGGCAAACUGACACCUCUCUGUGCCUUAGAAAAAGCAGCAGAGUACAAGAUUGAAGUACACAAGGCCUUGUUUGCUGUUGUCCUUCAGAAACAAAACGCCCAUCACCGUUUAUGGUAUUUGACACUCUUAUCAAGGUGUCAAAGAUUCCGUGCAGUAUUCCGGCUAUAGGAAGUGAAUCGUGCUUUUGGUAACAGUUAAUAGGACCAGACUUGAGACACAGAGUCAGGAUGUGGCAUGGAGUCACUUGAAGUAAGAAAAGAAUACAUGAACUGGCACUGGGAGCCAAGCACUGCCUAUCCCAAGCUCAGAGCUCCUGAAAAUCCUCUCUUCAGCAAAUUCAUGGCAGCCUCCUCAGGAAAGGACCUGGUGUCUAUUUUACUGCUGUUCCUGCAACAAAAGAGUGUUCAUCAUUUGUGGAGAACUAUAGCAUCUCAUUGGAAUGGCUCUACGCAUCAGUUACAUAAGACCUGAAGGUAUGAGAGGCACACUCACCUGCAAUGACCCCAGAGCAGGGCUUGAAGGAUGCGCUGGUUCUGAAAGAGUUCCCUGACUCUGCUUCUUACGUGUUUCAUUUUCAAAAAUCAGACUAUGGAAGAAAGCUGACAGUCAUGUGAGCUUUCUGAUUGCCCAGAUUCUGUGUAUGUGUGUGUGUGUGGGAGGGGGGUAGCAUUUUCCUGUAAUUAAACUAUAAGAACUAAUUG
ensembl:antisense 4932413F04Rik RIKEN cDNA 4932413F04 gene